GGGAAAAUCAAGCGUUUCAACAUGGGGCCAUAGUCUAAAGGCAGCAGGCGGGCAACCAGGCUCCUCCAAUGCACACUGGCGAGAUUGGUCUUGUCACAUCUCUCCCCUUUUCCAAACAGACUAACAGGGUAUCUGACCUCUUGCCGGUCAGUGCCCUGGUUAGUCCAGCAGCCCACCCACAAAACACAAUCAGCAGUACAGCCCACCCACAAUAACUGGUUAGUACACCUGGGUAGAGGAGAAACUUGUCCAUGUCCAGGUGCCUCACCACGGCUGUGCAGGGUACUGGUAGGCUGCCUUGGUGGGUUGCUGAGUGGGCAGAGACCAGCGGUACUCUGCCCUGGUGCCAGUGCUACCACGGUAGUAGCCUGGUUGGAGCCUGGUUGUUGGAGGGGGAGACCGACUGUCUCCCCUUUAGAUACACAGCUCUGCUGCUGGAGGGGGAGACCGACUGUCUCCC